UUAUCACCAACGUCUUAAAAUCACCUAAAAACUCUGCCCAUUAAACCAGAGACUACCAUCGCGGGCCUCAACAACUCCUGCCGGUCCAACACCAUCCAUCAUCACAACUCCACUUCGCCCAUAAAAAACCACCCCUGCCGAGACCCCCUCUUAACCGAAUCAACCCAACAAUUUAAAGACCAAAACCUAUACUCACCACCAUCGUAUACAACCCAAACAGCCAUCAACCAUCGAGACCGUGAGUAUCAUUCACAGCCGAAACAAAACGUUAACAAAUACUACCUCCAACACCCAAGCCUGUCUCUGUCAACAGCCCAUCCAGACCUGUCAAAAAAAAUACACAAAAAUUACAUCCCAAAAGGAGAACCACAAAACAACAGCCGAACAAAAGAAAAUAAGAUUAAAAUUGAGAUUCAGAUUUAGGUGUUUGGGAUGGUUUUUAAGCUAGAUCUUUGGAGAGUAGGAGGGUUUUAAGGAGAAAAACAGUAUAGCAAAAGGUGAGGACCAUCGAAGAAGCAGGAACCAACGAAAAAAAUUUUGGCUGAAUUUUUUAGUUCAGAUCUAGGCUUCUAGGCGUUGUUUUUGAAAAAAUUAAGGUCGAAACGUGAAGGAAGAGCCCGAAAGAAAUCGGUAGUUGAAAUUUGGGCUUAAACCGAUACUAGCGAUUGGCUGUUGGCCAAGGAGACAAUGGCCCAUGAGGUAUCGAGCCACCUGUUUUUAGGUUUGGGAAUAACCGAUGUUCUUAGGGGUGAAGGAUGUUUGAAUUUUUUUUUCCAGAGAAAAUGUUUUAAAUGAAUUGAAAAAAAAU
rnacentral:lncRNA from 1 species